AUCAGCAUGCCGCGGUGAAUACGUUCCCGGGUCUUGUACACACCGCCCGUCAAAACAAUGGGAGUGGUGUUUACCAGAAGUCGUUAGCCUAACCGCAAGGAGGGCGGCGACCACGGUGAGCACCGUGACUAAUGUUAAGUCGUAACAAGGUAUC
rnacentral:rRNA from 1 species